GACGAACGCUGGCGGCGUGCCUAACACAUGCAAGUCGAACGGAGUGGCGAACGGGUGAGUAACACGUGGGUGAUCUGCCUUGCACUUCGGGAUAAGCUUGGGAAACUGGGUCUAAUACCGGAUUGUGCAAGAUGUGCUCGCGGCCUAUCAGCUUGUUGGUGGGGUAUUGGCCUACCGAGGCGUCGCGGGGUAGCCGGCCUGGGAGGGUGUACGGCCACAUUGGGACUGAGAUACGGCCCAGAUGCCUACGGGGGGCAGCAGGUGGGAAUAUUGCGCAAUGGGCGGAAGCCUGAUGCAGAGACGCCGGGUGGGGGAAGAAGGCCUUCGGGUUGUAAACUCCUUUCGACAGGGACGCGGUACCUGUAUAAGAAGCACCGGCUAACUACGUGCCAGCAGCCGCGGUAAUUC
rnacentral:rRNA from 1 species